rfam:Erinaceus europaeus unplaced genomic scaffold scaffold00011, whole genome shotgun sequence
GUUCUUUUGUAUUUCAUAAGCACGAUGAUUGGGUUUUCAGGUGACUGCGUGAGAUGUGUCACCCAUAAACUUUGUUAUGAGGUCGGCACAUGACCCAUCUGACA